UCACCUCUUGUUGCCAUCAGGUCAUGCUGGGCACUCUAGAGGAACUGCCCCGGUCAACGGGGAGGAAGGCGGGGAUGACGUCAAGUCAUCAUGCCCCUUACGUCCUGGGCUACACACGUGCUACAAUGGCCGGUACAAAGGGAUGCCACACCGCGAGGUAGAGCUAAACCCAAAAAGCCGGUCUAAGUUCAGAUUGGAGUCUGCAACUCGACUCCAUGAAGGAGGAAUCGCUAGUAAUCGCGUAUCAGCACGACGCGGUGAAUACGUUCCCGGGCCUU
rnacentral:rRNA from 1 species